GGAUGGGUGGACAGGAAGGGGGAUGGGUGGAUGGAUGGGUGAAUCAGGAGUUCAGAGGAGAGAGAGAUUAAUUCUGCCCAGUGAAUUCUGCUUGGGGAUGCUGCAGAAGGCUAGACAGGGCUGGUUGGAUGUGGGGGUCAAAGGGAGACAGUAUGGCAAAGGUGUGGAGGUGGGAUGACAGGGCACACGCAGGGAACAAAGAGUAAUCAGAGAACAGGUGAAAAUAACGGGAGAUGAUUUCAGAAAGUGAAUUGGGAUAUGGUCUUUGGUUUCUUCAGUCUCACUCACCCCCUGCACAGAACUGUGAUGGGAGCCCCUGUUUUUGCUGCAGUCUAA
rnacentral:lncRNA from 1 species